rnacentral:rRNA from 1 species
GAGUCUAGCAUGUGCGCGAGUCAUUGGGAUGACACUAAACCUAAAGGCGUAAUGAAAGUAAAGGUCCGCCUAGCGCGGACCCAGGGAGGAUGGGCGGCCCGAGGGCCGGCCCCGCACUCCCGGGGCGUCUCGUUCUCAUCGCGAGAUGAGGCGCACCUAGAGCGUACACGCUGGGACCCGAAAGAUGGUGAACUAUGCCUGGUCAGGACGAAGUCAGGGGAAACCCUGAUGGAGGUCCGUAGCGAUUCUGACGUGCAAAUCGAUCGUCGGAACUGGGUAUAGGGGCGAAAGACUAAUCGAACCAUCUAGUAGCUGGUUCCCUCCGAAGUUUCCCUCAGGAUAGCUGGCGCUCGCCGCGUGCGAGUCUCAUUCGGUAAAGCGAAUGAUUAGAGGCAUUGGGGUCGAAACGGCCUCAACCUAUUCUCAAACUUUAAAUGGGUGAGAUCUCCGGCUUGCUUAAAUAGUGAAGCCGCGAGACACACAGGAUCAGAGUGCCAAGUGGGCCACUUUUGGUAAGCAGAACUGGCGCUGUGGGAUGAACCAAACGCCGAGUUAAAGCGCCUAAAUCGACGCUAAUGGGAUACCAUGAAAGGCGUUGGUAACUUAAGACAGCAGGACGGUGGCCAUGGAAGUCGGA